CUAAGUUUGAUGGCGACCGGCGCACGGGUGAGUAACACGUAUCCAACCUGCCGAUGACUCGGGGAUAGCCUUUCGAAGAAAGAUUAAUACCCGAUGGCAUAGUUCUUCCGCAUGGUGGAACUAUUAAAGAAUUUCGGUCAUCGAUGGGGAUGCGUUCCAUUAGGUUGUUGGCGGGGUAACGGCCCACCAAGCCUUCGAUGGAUAGGGGUUCUGAGAGGAAGGUCCCCCACAUUGGAACUGAGACACGGUCCAAACUCCUACGGGAGGCAGCAUG
rnacentral:rRNA from 1 species